UGGAGGCAGCAGUAAGGAAUUUUCGGCAAUGGGGGAAACCCUGACCGAGCGACGCCGCGUGAGGGACGAAGGCCUUCGGGUUGUAAACCUCUGUCUUCGGGGACGAUUAUGACGGUACCCGAGGAGGAAGCCACGGCUAACUACGCGCCAGCAGCCGCGGUAAGACGUAGGUGGCGAGCGUUGUCCGGAAUUACUGGGCGUAAAGGGCGUGUAGGCGGCCUGCUAAGUCAGACGUGAAAUCCCUGGGCUUAACCUUGGGACUGCGUUUGAAACUGAUGGGCUUGAGGACGGGAGAGGAAAGUGGAACUCCGUGUGUAGCGGUGAAAUGCGUAGAUAUACGGAAGAACACCAGUGGCGAAGGCGGCUUUCUGGACCGUCCCUGACGCUGAGGCGCGAAAGCCAGGGGAGCGAACGGGAUUAGAUACCCCGGUAGUCU
rnacentral:rRNA from 1 species